GUAGGUGGGCAAGCGUUGUCCGGGAAUUAUUGGGGCGUAAAGCGCGCGCAGGCGGUCCUUUAAGUCUGAUGUGAAAGCCCACGGCUCAACCGUGGAGGGUCAUUGGAAACUGGGGGACUUGAGUACAGAAGAGGAAAGCGGAAUUCCAAGUGUAGCGGUGAAAUGCGUAGAGAUUUGGAGGAACACCAGUGGCGAAGGCGGCUUUCUGGUCUGUAACUGACGCUGAGGCGCGAAAGCGUGGGGAGCAAACAGGAUUAGAUACCCUGGUAGUCCACGCCGUAAACGAUGAGUGCUAAGUGUUAGGGGGUUUCCGCCCCUUAGUGCUGCAGCUAACGCAUUAAGCACUCCGCCUGGGGAGUACGGCCGCAAGGCCG
rnacentral:rRNA from 1 species